rnacentral:rRNA from 1 species
GACGAACGCUGGCGGCGUGCUUAACACAUGCAAGUCGAACGAAGUGGCGAACGGGUGAGUAACGCGUAAUCAACCUGCCCUUCAGCGGGGGACAACAGUUGGAAACGACUGCUCAUACCGCAUACUGAAGGAGGGGAUUGCGUCUGAUUAGCUAGUUGGGGGGGUAACGGCCCACCAAGGCGAUGUUCAGUAGCCGGUCUGGGAGGGUGAACCGGCACAAUGGUACUGGGAAACGGCCCAGACUCCUACGGGGGGGAGCAGUGGGGAAACUUCCGCAAUGGACGGAAGUCUGACGGGGCAACGCCGCGUGGGGUGUGACGGGUUUCGGGUUGUAAAGCUCUGGUAAUCGGGGCGCGGUACCGAAAUAGAAAGCCACGGCUAACUACGUGCCAGCAGCCGCGGUAAUAC